GGUCGAUUAGCUCAGUUGGUUAGAGCGCCGUACUAAUAGGCCCCAAGGGGGCCCAGAAGAUAUCUCGCUACCGAGCGGAGAGAGGCUAGAGGGACCCUGCAAGGCAAGGUUCAUGCGGAUGUCAUGGGUUCGACCCCCAUAUUGACCA
rnacentral:tRNA from 1 species